CAGCAGCCGCGGGAAUACGUAGGUGGCAAGCGUUGUCCGGAAUUAUUGGGCGUAAAGGGCUCGCAGGCGGUUUCUUAAGUCUGAUGUGAAAGCCCCCGGCUCAACCGGGGAGGGUCAUUGGAAACUGGGAAACUUGAGUGCAGAAGAGGAGAGUGGAAUUCCACGUGUAGCGGUGAAAUGCGUAGAGAUGUGGAGGAACACCAGUGGCGAAGGCGACUCUCUGGUCUGUAACUGACGCCGAGGAGCGAAAGCGUGGGGAGCGAACAGGAUUAGAUACCCGUGUAGUCCCUGUCUCUUAUAU
rnacentral:rRNA from 1 species